rnacentral:rRNA from 1 species
CAAGUCGAACGGUAACGCGGGGGCAACCCUGGCGACGAGUGGCGAACGGGUGAGUAAUACAUCGGAACAUGUCCUGGAGUGGGGGAUAGCUCGGCGAAAGCCGGAUUAAUACCGCAUACGCUCUGAGGAGGAAAGCGGGGGACCUUUCGGGGCCUCGCGCUGCAGGAGUGGCCGAUGUCGGAUUAGCUAGUUGGUGGGGUAAAGGCCCACCAAGGCGACGAUCCGUAGCUGGUCUGAGAGGAUGAUCAGCCACACUGGGACUGAGACACGGCCCAGACUCCUACGGGAGGCAGCAGUGGGGAAUUUUGGACAAUGGGGGCAACCCUGAUCCAGCCAUGCCGCGUGAGUGAAGAAGGCCUUCGGGUUGUAAAGCUCUUUCGGACGGAACGAAAUGGUUACGGUGAAUAUCCGUGACUGAUGACGGUACCGUAAUAAGAAGCACCGGCUAACUACGUGCCAGCAGCCGCGGUAAUACGUAGGGUGCGAGCGUUAAUCGGAAUUACUGGGCGUAAAGCGUGCGCAGGCGGUUCGCCAAGUCAGGUGUGAAAUCCCCGGGCUUAACCUGGGAAUUGCGCUUGAAACUAGCGGGCUUGAGUGUGGCAGAGGGGGGUGGAAUUCCACGUGUAGCAGUGAAAUGCGUAGAGAUGUGGAGGAACACCGAUGGCGAAGGCAGCCCCCUGGGUCAACACUGACGCUCAUGCACGAAAGCAUGGGGAGCAAACAGGAUUAUAUACCCUGGUAGUCC